GCAGUCGUGGCCGAGUGGUUAAGGCGAUGGAAUAGAAAUCCAUUGGGGUCUCCCCGCACAGGUUCGAAUCCUGUCGACUGCG
rnacentral:tRNA from 1 species